rnacentral:lncRNA from 1 species
CCGGAGUGAAGCCAUGUUUGGCAUGCUAGCUGGGCAGUGUGGUCUUGGCAUUGGGUGGUCGCUGGGUAAUUGGGGCGGCGCGGUGUGCGGCAUCGGCAUAGGUCUUGGGCCGUGCUAUGCACGGAACUGUGGCUGGUGAUCCCACCGGAGUUGUGGCAGGUGAUUGCGGCAGCGCUGUAUUGGGCUACUACUACAUGGCAAAGUUGCCGCUGUUUCAAUUGAAGUUUGGUUGAGCAUGAGUGCACGGGAGGAGGUGAGCAACUCCAAUUUUUGUGAUUUCUGUUCCAAAAUUCCAAUUAGCUUCGUUUCCUUUGUGAUGUUCUUCCCAAAUUGAUAUCCGUGCAUCUGGUUGCUCCCGAUCUGCUUGCUCCUGCGCCCCUUGAGGUCCUGAUUUGACUACCAACCUGUGGAUCUAGGUUCUCCCGGUGGUGGAGUUCAUGGAGCUCCAGUGGCUAAGGACUUGACCGGCAAGCUGGAGGCCACCACAAUCAGCGUCCUCCAGCUCUAACACUAAUCAUUCAUCUCAUCUAGUCACGUGGGUUAUGUGGGUAUGUGGCCAUCCUUGCCUGCUUCAAUAAUUUUCAGUUGCUUCAAUUCCUAAUCUAGUUCGUAGCAGACGUGCAGAUAGUAGAAUCUUGCCUCCCAUAUGUUCAGGUGAUAUGUUGCUAUUUGAACUGAAAUCCCAUUGUAUGUCUUGACAAGUGAACGAUGCAAAAAUAGUGUACUGACUAUCUAAUCGUUGUUAGGUUUUCUCUUCUCUAUUUGAAGGCGAUGAUCUUGUGGCAAUUGGUUCCAUUUGACUUGGUGCCUGCACCACCGUAUACACAAGUUUCUUCAGUUUAUUCGGGUGGUUUCCUCUGUCAUAAUGGCAAAGAAAGGCGCUAGAUCCAAUUAGAUGAUGUAAAAGUCACUGCUAGAUUUCAAGAAUUUCUUACUGCCAGCAUUCUCAGGUAGCAGAGAUUGCCAAUCAUCGUUAAGAAUGUUUUUUUCAUGUUUCUAGCGUAUAUGGUCAUUGUGGCACCCCUUGCAUCAUCAUGGAAUCCACAUGUUUCAAAAAGUGACAUGCAAAUGGUACCAAAGAGUGUAUUCGCAUCAUCAUAUACCAUAGUAACAUACUAUUACAACUUUACAAGUGAUAGUUUGAAGUAGAUCAUGCUUCCUCCUUCAUCAUCAUGUUUUUCUAACAUCUUGGUUUAGUUGAUCCAGAGAUACAUUUAUCAUUCAUGUUGAUUAUGCAGUCGAAGCUUAUCAAUUCAUCGCUGUUGAACUUUGUAGUUUUGAUCUAGAUAACUCUCUGCCUGCAAAACAAAAUGUAGUUAGCUCCCAUAUGAACGUGUAUUUAUAAGAUUUUUGGAGGUUGAGGAGCUUGAAGAAAAUGCACUUCUUUUGCAUGUGCCUAUAUAUACCUCUCAGAUCUUCUAAUGAAAACUGAAAGAUUUUGUCUCCAGUGUGAUCUCGUGAUUAUACUACUUGUUCUAUACAAAGAAAUCUAUGUGUAUAUGGAGUACUAGCAGUUUUUACCUUGAGGAUUACUUUUCUUUUCAAGAUGGAAUUUUGGUACUUAGUAUACUCCUUACUGCCUUGUUUUCUGGCUGGGCUCAGAAUAUCAUUUUCUUUAUCGAAUGUUGUGACUAAUGGAAUUUUUAGUGGACACCCCGGCAAUUUUAUUUAUUACUCAAAUUAUCUAUGUUUUCAUUUCUUGUUUGAAACUCCUCGACAUAAAAAUUACUAAAGCUUCACCAUCUAGCGAAGAACGGAUGCAUCAACUCUCAUUUGAUUCACAAAAUGAUAAACUGUCCCGUUUUUUACCCUUCUCGGUAUUAUUCAUAGACUUGCUUUACAAUUUAAAAUUAGGAUCUAUUUUGCAAUUUCAAAAUCCAUACUCAAUGUUGCUAAACACGUCCAAAUGGCGAACAUGUUUUUAGUACAGUACAUGAAAGGCUAAUUCUAUGCUGGUGAAGAGAUAUCCCAGGUUUUUUCAUACUGUAAUGGGUUUGAGUUGUUUCUGAUUUAAAAAUGUUAAUGUAGCGUUCUCAUGCAGGCCUUAGUUUCUUGGUUUUGUUGUUCGCUGCAGUCCUGGUAUAAUCCUUUGUUCUUCUAUAUUUGUUUACCACAUCUGUAUUUACACCUGACUUUAUGCAUUGUGCCAUCAAUGUUAGAGGCCUCAUCGCGGGCUGUUUUUUGAGCAUUGUACAACUUCACUGAAAGUAAAUUUGCUACUGCAAUUAAGGGCGACCUAACUAUGGCCUGCAGUGUUGUUGAGCAAUAUAAAGGCCCGACAUUACCUUUUAUUUGUUCAACAUUAUCCUUAAAAUGCAUAGCUCCUAAAAUAAGUUUGUAGAGCACGAAUUGCAAUCUAAAAAAUGAGCUGCCUGCUGAACCAGCAACCGAAGAUGUGGGUGGUGCGGUAAGACAUACGUCAACCAUCUAUUACUAAAAGAGGAUUCCUAUUUGUCCAAUUUUUACUUUUGAUCAGGGAUUGCAGAUUUAAUAUUUACUUUUUUCAACAAGUAAUUUUUUUGGGUUUUGCUUCAAAUUUUAUCUUCUGUGAAGUGUUGGUUUUGCUCAUCCUUAACCCAUUCUUUCUCCCCCGCAAAAAAACAUUCUUGUAGAGCUAUCUAUUUAAAUAUGAUUAAUUUCUUCUUCUUUGGGGUUACUCUACCACUACCAUAGAAAAGCUAUCAUUUGGUUCCUUGUCAUAUUUAUUUAGUUCCUUGUAAUAUGUCAUUGAUGGUUUAUGGAGAGUACAUUUCAAACUAAUGUUCCUCUUUUCAGCAUACAGUUUUCCUUUCUUACAUUUUGCAAUGCAUCAGGACAGAAACAUGACAGAUUGAGCUGCAAUGGUAUGUGUACAUGUAACAGGUUUUCAAGCUCUGGAAAACUUUUUCAGUAAUCGAAUCGUUGCUGAAACUACAUGGUCAUCCAGAUGAGGAUGUUCAGAAGGCUAACUGGAAAUGCAUCUUGGGCAGAAAUUGUAGGGUCAUGCAGAUGGGGAUUUUGCAACCUCUAAUCGGAAAUCCAAAUGUUUGCAUUUUGCCCAGACCGGUGCCCUUCUCAAGAUUGACGUGAGGCUGUUCUACUACAGAAAGAUAGUUUUGUCUAUAGAUAUAGAUUUGUUUAGAUGCUACUUUGUCAAGCAGCCUAUUGAUUUUAUUGUUUUAUGAUUUACGUGUGAUGAACUCACAUCGUCUUUGUUCAUUGUAAACUGGUCUAGUUAUACCAUGAAAUGCAAGUGCUUUUCGAGUAGUUCUUAUGUGGUGGAAUGCACAAUUCCAG